GUAGGGGGCAAGCGUUAUCCGGAUUUACUGGGUGUAAAGGGAGCGUAGACGGUUACGCAAGUCUGGAGUGAAAGGCGGGGGCCCAACCCCCGGACUGCUUUGGAAACUGUAUAACUGGAGUGCAGGAGAGGUAAGUGGAAUUCCUAGUGUAGCGGUGAAAUGCGUAGAUAUUAGGAGGAACACCAGUGGCGAAGGCGGCUUACUGGACUGUAACUGACGUUGAGGCUCGAAAGCGUGGGGAGCAAAC
rnacentral:rRNA from 1 species